AGAGAUAUUGUUUGCCAGUGAUUUGAGUGGAUCAACCGUUGGAUCUACGGACAACAAACUUGGAAUCUGUGGAGCAUAAACCAUCCGCCACCGUGCUUGUCCAAACUCACCCUUGCCUUCGAUUCUUGGCAUCAAAGUUUCUAGUGUUGCAGUUGCGAGUUUCUUGAAUGCAAGCUGUCCGUCACCUUCCAAUAGCGACUCCGCAAGCUGCGACUCAAAAACCUUUGCGGCCUAUAGCACAGCAAGAAACCAGAGUUGUAAGAGUUACACAUAAUUAGGAAAACAAAAUAACUCAGGCUCAGUUAAGUCAAUGUUUUAAUCUCCUUAUUCCACUCUUGAGUAGAGAACUGGCAAGCAACCAGCAAAAGGCAGAUUUAGCUAAUCAUAAAAACUGUUCAAUUUUUUAAGACAAGAAAUUAAAUCAUGAGAUUAUCAGGACUACAGCAAAGUUAAGCUGUAACUCAUUUGUAGAUGUAUCUUACCUCACUAGGUGACAGAACAUCCUGGUCCACGGAGCGAGUCGAGGUUACAACCAGAUUAUCUUGCCACAUGCUGGCUCGACUCAUGAUUUUGAAUUGCCAUUCAGAUCCAACAAGGACGAGAUCCAGAACAGGAUCUAAACCAAGAUCAGGCUCAAACUUUGCUACAUUUAAAUGGUCACUUUUAAGUCUAACCUGCAAUCAGGUACAGAAAUGUGAAGCAACUCAUCAUAAACCAUUUUCAAACUGGGAAAGAAAAAUGAACUUGUGCCAAACAAGGGUCAAACUAUAAAGCUUACCUGAGUAGCUACCAAGUUGACCUCACCAUUUUCAAAUGUUAAUAUACCCUUCGGCCUUAUGUACUUUGGAUGUACCAUGCCAUUAAGCUCAAGGUCACCACUGACAGCAAAAUUCAGAAUUAAAGGAUAAACAAUUCUUAAUUCUGGUCCCAGCGUGAGCUUCAAGUCAUUGAGUCGGGCAUCAAUGUUUGGCUUAAAACUUCCAUUCUCAAGAGUCCUUUCUGUUUCUGUUUGUUGACCAACGAUGCAAAAAAUUGAAAGCUCCAGUAAACCCAUAAAGAAAAUUAGAAAAACAGCAGGACAGAGAGAGGGAGAAGCAUACGCUUCUUUUAGAUAUUCACAUCAAAUGUAACGAAUUGUCACAUGUAACCAGUUAACUAGUUAAGCUAUAUGUAUCGGUCAAGCUUUGCUGUGAAAUAUUAGUGAAUGUCAAAUUAAUGGAAUACGUACUAUCUGGCGAAGUUGACAAUGCACCCAGGAAACGUGAGACAUCCUGCGAAGUAGUUGUUUGACCAAAACCAGCAAGAAGAUAGCUGGACUUGUUUGAAGCCAACCUAGUCGCCACAGCACCAUUGCCUUUAUCAUGAGGCAAAUAUGCUUCACCAUGGGUUAACCGGAUCAUCCCAGAGACAUCUGGCCGCAAUAUUGAGCCUGUAACCUGCAGCUGGCUGUCUACUUGGCCACUGUACAAAUCAAAACAAAAACAGUUUAGCAAAUGAUAAGAAGACAUAAUUUGGGAUCCUACAUAUUGCAUGUUCAAUAUGAAUUUAUGAGAUGCUUUUCAGGUUUUGGCACAGUACUGUUAACUGUUUCCAUAAACCAGCUUUAGAAGACAAUCAACCAGAUCGUGGGGUGCUUUACAUCACUCAGAAGCUGCUAGUCAGAAACUAAGCUUCAACAUAUAGUACAGAAAUCAAAAAGGAUAAAGUAGAAAUAAUUACCUUAAAACAUUUUUUGCUCGUAUAUCCAGAACUUCACAUUUCAACUCAAUCUUAUCACUGGCUGAUGGCUCACUAUUUUGCAGAGGUAGAGUCCCUUUCAUUGACAAUUUUCCCUUCCUCCCAACCCUGCUUUCCAUGGAAUUGAUGAAUAGUCUGUUGGAUAUAACAUUAACAUUACCAGCGAAAUUUGUAAGCGGCGUCCGAAGGAAAGGAGAAGUCACAGUUGCUCGGUGAAAUGAUGCAGACCCAUCAACAACAGGUUGAUCAACAGUGCCUUUAACCUUCCAUCAAAAUGGCAAAGAAAAGAGGAGGAAAAUGUUAAUCAACUGCUUCAUGUUAGAUCCAAAAUAAAAUAAAAAACUGUGGAUUCCACAGGUGGAACAAAGAACUACCUAUAAAAGACAACAUUUAUGCUUCAUAGUUUAAAUCAACAGAUAUUUUCAUCAAUCACAAUUAAUCUAUGAAAAAGAGCAAUAUGUUACGUUGUCCUUAGUGGAAUUAUGGGAAUUAAAAAAGGAUGGGCCACCUGAAGGAGCACAUCAGCAUAGCCUUGAAGCCAGUUUGCAUAAGGACUAAGUGCAGUUAUCAACAUCAUGCCACCAUCCUUUAUAUCUGCAUUUACCCUCACUUCACCUGGUUCUAGCAAAUUCCAACUUAAACCUUUUAGACUUUCAGCUAACUGAAAUUCCCAACCAUCCUCUGGCUUGUCCCUCACGAUUCUUGUUUCACUGAUAUCAUUAGAUGAUCCUCUGUCUUUCGCCCAAACAGGGAUUCUUAUAAUACCAUGUUUACCAUCUCCAGCUUCCAAAUUUUCCUCCGUGGAGCUGCUGUCGACGUAAGUCACAGGAAUACUACCUUGAAUGUUUACAUGUCCACUUUGUAUAGUUGGUUCGAUAUUUGCAUCAAAAACAAAACGGCUUGUUGGGGUUACAGAGGCCAAUACUUCAGCUCUUCCCAGAUCAAUGCCUCCGAUGGUGCCGUCAAGAAGUCUAAUUUGAACAUCACAUUCUGGUUUUGCGAGAGUGCCUCUCAAAUCUCCCUCCAUGUGUAAAAUACCUUUUAUUGGUGUCACCCAUUGCCUCAGAAAGUGAAUUGAAUCUGUAGUUGAUGAUUCUAGAGCCUGAACUAGAGCUGGUAUAAGACCAACUGGGAAAUUAAGCACAGCAAAGUGAAGAUUUGUUAGCGGGCCAAGAAUCGAUCCGUCAGCAUGAAGGGUGGCAUUAUCCUUCUGAAUAAAUAACUUAUCAAGACGCAGGCCAUCAUUAUUGCUAUAAGAACCAGAUGCCAGAACACGCUGUGUCUUGUAUGUGCCCCACUCCCAAUCUUCACCAUUGAAAUCAAAAUCAGCCUGUAUAAAUAAAGCCAUUAGGAAUCAUGUUUACAUAUAAUUCAGAGAAGAUUGUCUUGCUGAUAGUGCCAUUUACAAAGUCAAGCUUCUGUAAAUAUUUCUUCCAACAUACCAAAAGAUGUAGUGGAAAUAAACCGCUAACACAAAUACAGUACAANNNNNNNNNNNNNNNNNNNNNNNNNNNNNNNNNNNNNNNNNNNNNNNNNNNNNNNNNNNNNNNNNNNNNNNNNNNNNNNNNNNNNNNNNNNNNNNNNNNNNNNNNNNNNNNNNNNNNNNNNNNNNNNNNNNNNNNNNNNNNNNNNNNNNNNNNNNNNNNNNNNNNNNNNNNNNNNNNNNNNNNNNNNNNNNNNNNNNNNNNNNNNNNNNNNNNNNNNNNNNNNNNNNNNNNNNNNNNNNGGGGGGGGGGGUCAGUGAAGCUCGACCAAAAUGCUAGAAGUGUUAGUGUAAAGACCACUAUUAGGAGUUCAUCAAUAAUUACCGGGGCAAAAGUCUGAUAGAGUUAAUAUUUGAACAUGCUCACCAUAGUAUCUCCAUUCCCUCCUCCACUGGCAUCAAGAGAACCACGCCAGUAACCUCUCAGUUCAGCUAAGGCCGGAAGAGUUAUAUCUUCAAUUGUAUCAUCAUCCAACCAGUCGUGAUACAUUUCAACUGCCUGUUGCAAGGAAUGGGAUGAAGUUAAUAUAAGUAGCAUGUCAUAAUAACAAGGGAACCCGCUAAUAAGGGAAACCAUAACUCUAUGCCUGUGAUACAAUAUUCUAAACUCACUAUCUUUAGUACCUUUAUCUGGUCACGUAGGCUUUCAGCAUUGAACCCAACAGAAUGCAAGCAUUGCAUGAAAAGUUCCUGCAAACAAAUAUAGGAUCAAAUGGCUGCUACCAUCUAGCAGACCAUAAACACCAACGAAUAUUAUAACCAACAAAGGAAAAGAAAGAUAGAAUCACAAAUACAGAACAAACUGCACACCUUCGAUCUAGAACGAAUAACUGGAUCUGUACUUCGUGAAAGAAGUCUUGCCAGGGGAAGUAUUUCAGCUACUUCAGCAUCGGGAACUUCUAGUCUCAUCCUCCACCUGCCCAUUGAAGACAUAAUGCUACCAAGAUGCCCUCCCAUUGCUUUCUGUAUAAACCCAUUACCAUGACUUUCCAUAGGAAAUCUAUCACGUGUUCCUGGAAACACAUACUCCCCUUGAAGCUCAUACUUGCUAUUAGGUUGCUCUAGGACUGACUUUUCCAUUGUAAUCUGGGUAUUGAAAAUACAAAGAAUAGCUAGUAAGUCAACACAGCAAGGACUCACAACUACUCCCUCCGUCCCAUAAUGUAGGAUGUUUUUGGACACUAGUGUAGUGUCAAAAAACGUCCUACAUUAUGGGACGGAGGGAGUAGCUAUUAAAAAUAAGAUAAGAACCUCACUGGAAUGUAUAACUAGUGUCAAGAAAAACAACAAAUGCAUGUUAUACAUCAAUUGUUUUAUGUUUGUCAUCUGGGAAAGGCUAACAUGGGGGAUGCUAGGAACCAUGAAACUGAGUUAUAACAGUGUUUGAAGUUUCCUUACUCCAAAAAUUCUACUAAACAACUACCAAAGAGGUGGCAAAAUUCUUGAUUACAACUUACAAGUAAUACCAAACACCUGCUAAAGGUAACACAUGAGAUAUGGCUUCAACCACACAAAACAAGAAAAUAUAUGUGGGAGAAAAAAAAACUCACAACAUCACCACUCCAUCGAGCAGCUAUAUCAAGUGCUUCACCAAACACACCACUAAAUUUGGGACGGACCACUGAUAACAAACCAUGACCUCUUCUUUUCUGGAAAUUAAGCUGAACUUCUGCCUGUAACAAGAAAAGAUCUGUUACAUUAGACAUCAUUGGUGGAUUCUCCAUUUAGCAAUUGAUCACAAUUGAUUUACAACAAAUACUGGAGAAUGGAGCUUCCACAUUUAUUUAUUUUUUGAGCAGAAUUGGAGCCUCCACAUUCGACAUAUACAACUUCUCAUGAAAUGCAAGAAAAAAAAGUAUGAAUACUUAGUUAUUACUUAAGGAGCAGAAGACCACGUUGUAGUUCAAAAAAGUUUACAUCAAUUACAGAAAAUUUAUAUGGCACAGAAUACAUAAGCUAUGGACAAAUAGCAUAGCAUUAAAUAGCAGAAAACCAGAAGGUGCAGCACAGAAAAUGACAGAUGCAUAUUUUCAAUCCGAAAACUCCAUUAACUACAUCAGCACAAUAUAACAUUUUAUUAGACUGCAUCAUGUAGUUAACUGAACUAACAUCUCUCCUGCGAAAUUUAAAUUGCAGAAGUGCUUUACUAUCUGACGGCAUGCAAGCAUCAUGACUAAUUACAACUCACGUGUAUGAGACAUAGAAUCAACCAAACAGAGCUACCAACAAUACAGAACCUGAAAACAGAUUACCUAACCAAAAAAACACGGAGUAUGCCAUACUCUCAUCUAGGACAAUAUUACCUUCUGAACAAAUCCACGUAAUGAAGCAAGCUCCAGCUCGUCAAGUGGCAAAUUCCGAACCUUUACGACCAGAAGACAAGUAUCAACAAUAUCGAAACGGACUCUACAAGUCUUAUAAUGUUCAAGAAAGAUUGCUGGCAAGGAAAAUACACACACUAACACAACACUAACAGUAGUAGAGUACCUCCAAAUUAGUCAAACUUUCAGGAUGAUAACAUAUAUUAGACUUCAGCUGCCCCUUUUGGAGGAAAAUUGAUAGAAGCCUUUCAUCUUGAAUGGCGUCAUUUGUACCAAAAAACAAUGGCCCGUUCACUUCUAUGGAAAUCUUUUCAUCAGGCCUGCCGGUAGCAUUUAACUAUGUUGCAGGGGAAUAGGGAUAGUAAGAGGAAGAUGUAAGGGAAAGAGAACAACAUGUAGUCUAUGCAGAUAAAAAAUAAUAAAAAUCAACAUAACUACCAAAUGCAUACAGCACUCUCUUCAAUUAUUUGGAAGGUGCGCUUGACAUAGAAAAUCAUCACAUCAUAUAUAUCCAAGGAGAAAAUCUUUAUAUUGUGUCGAACCAUGGAGUUAGAAUUAAAGCCUCUUAAAGAGUUAAAGUUACUGAACUUAUGCCCGUUGCUCUCAUAAGUAAAAUAGUUGCUGCCAGAAUAGUUUGUGUGGGUUAAAAAUUGCUGUGAUUUGUCAGAGUAUGCUAUUAUUGCAAUGCAAUCUGUUAAGCAGCAUAAAAUGGUAACAGAAGUGAAUCAAUUUGGAUAGUGAAGUGUACCUUUAAGUGGACGAAUGGCCCUCGAGCCUUGGAGAAAAUAGUGAAUGUAUUAAAUACAUCCAUUCUUUCUAUUUUUAUUUGGUUCUCGUUUUGUAUUGCAAGGUAAUGUGCACAGAUUUUAGUAAUUUGAAGAAGUAAAAGACGGGAAGUGUUUAAAUCCAAAAUUCCACUUUACAGACUGUUACAGAUCUGUCUGUGCAUGCCACUAUUGAUGAUCCAAACUAUAGCACUUAGUGCACACAACCGAGGCACAUACAAACAAAUUGAAUUAGGCUAUAAAAUCACAUACAAGCAAUGCAAGUCAAAUUCAGAGGACGAAACAACAAAACAGCAACUUACCAUCACAGAAUCUCGUGACAAGGAAAGAAAACCAGUAGACUGAGGUGCCAGCAUGAGUUGGUUAAGUUUUAUUCCUGACAGAGAAAUCUCCCCAACAAGCCUUGACACAUCACUCUCAAGCUUACUUUGGUCCAUGAUACUUUGUAAAGCGCCAUAUAUCUUGUCAUCAACUACCUGGCUAGGUUUCACCACUUUUCCUUGAAAUUUGACCCUUCCAGAUGCUUUCAAAUGUAAUGGCCUCGGUGUAUCAAAAGGUAUUGAAGAAGCUAUAUGAGCAAAUUCAAAGCCUCGCAUACGUAAAUCCAAAUCAACACUCUCCACAACUAGUGGCAUAAUCUUUUUCAUUUGAUACAUCUCCUUGUACAGCGAGUAGUCAUCAAUAUAUGAUGUUUGAAUACGAGUAUUUAAGUCAAAGGAAACUGAUGAUGAGUUAACCAUGAUAUAAUCAUGUGCAAUAACAAUAUUGCCCCGUGCAUCAGAAAAGGAAUCUUCUGCAUUUGGUGCAGCCCAUUUGAUAUCAAAUUUCCUGUCAUAAGUUUUUGUUGUCGUUAGAAUACCAGAAAAUACAUAGCCUACUUGGCCAUUAGGACUCCAGAUGAUAGAUGUAAUGUAAGAUACUCACGGUCUAUUAAGCGGGCCAGAAAGUCUAGUUUCUCCAUUGAGCUCGCCAAUUUUCAGUGGGAUCAGCUGAAUGCCUCCAGGUAUGUACCGAUGCAAAACCUUAUCAAGUAAAAUGCUCCCGGAUAAAUUAAUAUCCAUAGCAGAAUCAUCACCUUCCCCCUGCAGAGAUCUAAAUAUGUAUUAUACUUGCAUAAUGUGGUAAAUUUAUUUUGCAUCAUAAGAACAGCAGAGUAUCUAUUGGAUUUGUACAGCUAGUACAAAAAAAUCUGUGUAAGCUCUUAGGAAUACGCUGCUAGUAUUCCAUUUAUUUCGGUAGAGUACAAACUGAUAAGUUAUACACCCUCCGUCCCAAAAUAAGGGCCGCUGAUUUAGUACAAAGGACACUUAUGUUGGGAUGGAGGGGGUAGUUGCUAUUUCCAAUGCUCCAGGGGCUCAAUAGUAGACAUUCACUGUAAGCCCAGAGAAAUAAACAAACAAAUGGCUUAGCUAGGAUGUAAUUAUGAUGUCUAUGGCGAGGCCAAAGUUGUGAAUAAUGGACCUAAGAGUUUGGAAGGUUCUUCAUGAAUGCAUUUGCAUAGUUCGUUUCCAUAUGUAUUUUCAAUUUACAAAGUCCUGAUGGCUACUCUACGUUUUCGAAUAUUAUUCUUGAUAAUGAUACAGGAAGAACAAAUGCUUGGAUGACUAUAGAUGUAGAAAAAAGUCUGCUGAAAAUUAGCGCAAACAUGAAAAGAUGGCUGGCUGGAAGUGUAAUCAAAUAAUCAAUAGUCACAAUACCUCUGGGCAAAUCCAUGCAUUACCAGCCCCUCGAAUUUCUCCACCAUCCAAAAGACAUGCUCUAAUACCAUAUAAGUCUGCAACCUGCAGCCAGUCAUAACAAAGAGAAAUUAGUUGUUCCAAUUUCACAAACUUCAAUAACGGAAAAAAAUAGUGGCUCUAUUUCUACUCACACAGUUGUCAAGGUUGAAAGUGAAAUUCGCUGAUACAUGAGAGAAGGGAAUAUGAUCAAACGCAGCAACUGCACCAGCCUCCUUGUUUUGAAUCACAGCUUCAGAAGCUGCAGAUGGAGGCAUACCAGAUACUGAAAGGGACUUCCUUGAGACAAUCCCACUUCCAACAAAAACAGGAGCAUCAAGAGGUCCUUGACAAUUAAAUACAGCAGUAACAGCACCAGCCACCUAAAUAAGAUAAGAAGUGUACCAGCAGUUAAGUGGAUGAACAUGAAAAUUUAGCCAAAAGAUUUUUUUAAACACAUACAUCAUUGAUAGAGAUCAUCCUAAGCUAUUGUUAACAAACAAAUGAGACAGAACUGCUUAAAUGGUAUUUCAGGAACAGUUUGCGGUGCUGAACUGCGAUGUGUUGAUCAUAUUUUAAUAUUUUAUAUGUACUGCAGAAAAUAGCUACAGAAAAAAAAGGUUGAUUGAAGAAAUGGUAAUAUUAAGCUGGUCAGACAAACGGAAUUAUCACUAUCCAUAAGAGUGGUCAUUUUGCUUCAUCAAGAAGUUGAUUUUUAAUGCUAAGAACCAUGAUAACUGGUAUUUUAAGAUAAAUCACAAGUGUCAUUGUCGGGCAAUUCAAAUGAGUGGAAUAAACCAUCUAUCAUACAACUACAUAAAUAAGUCAGGUUGUGCAGUGCAUUUUAUAUUCAAGUCAAACUUAUUUUUCGUGUUGUGCCAUAUAUGUGGUUUCAGUAUAGCUAACUCCAGAUAUGAGUUCAGAUAGAUCAUCGCAAUGAAUCGGCAGUACAAAAUAGAGUCUGUUGUUUUUCGCUGCAUGCAGGAAUCUAGUAUUUCCAAAUAAGUCGAGUAAAGUAUGUCGAACCGGAAACAUCAGAGGCUUCAUUUUCACCGACUUCAUAAGCGCAUUAACUUCAACAGAUGGAACCUGAAAAAAAAGAUAUCAAGUAAAUGUAUGAGUUGCUGUUUAGGGGACUACAUGUAUAUACAAUGUAAUUAUCAACUUAAAGAUACCUGGCACAUUAGAUGGAACUCUCCAUCCUCAGGAUUUAAACCAAAAUCGCCAGAAGUUUCAACCGGAACAUCACCAAACCAACCACUUGCAUUAUGCAGAAAUACUCUUUGACCACGGAAUGACAGAGUUGCCACUAUUUCCUGAAUAUGUUGAGGCUUCCAUUAAAAACUAUAAUCACUUGGAAUGUUUGCAGCAGCAAUAUUUGGAAAGUAGUUACUAUUUGCAUAUCAAAGUACGGAAAUUCGGAAGACAUCUGAGCACAUGUGGCCUAGUUUUCACAUCAGAGCUAAAUGUCAGCGUCUGAAAUAGAUGCUUAAUUUGAAAUGCCAAUGACUGAUCUGUUUCUUACUACACUGCAGAUCAACAGCACCCACCCUGAGGUGCCCUGAGAACACGCUAUAUAGCAGCCACUAAUAUGACAAUAUCGCUUCGCCAACACCUCAUUCUUCAGUCUCUUUCUCCCUUAGCUACAUUAUGCCAGAAACUUGUGCAUCCAGCAUACAUGUGUUGAAGUGUGGUAUAUGUGGAUUGCCUAGCCCUUUCCAUCAGUUUGGACUUUUGGUUUUGUUGGUUAGUGCACGAAGCUCAACCCAAUGGAUAUCAUUUGUCAAUACUGGAAACCAUAAGUAUAAAUGUUGGUUAUAAUGAAGUAUGGCCAAUUGUUGCACAUCAAAAUCCAAAUUUUGGGUAGUCGAUAAAAUUUUCACGUUUUAGUAAAUUCUAGGCAAACCCACAUAGUAUAGAAGUUCUUUCCAGGAAAAUCAACAAUAAUGAAACUGGCCCACCUGAUGAUUCAUCUAUUAUUCCUGGAAACCCUCAUGAAUUUCUAGCUAUACCCCUGAUUCUAGUCAUUUCAACAAUAUUCACCAGCGACCAAUUGUGUUUACUUUUAAAGAAGUAACUAGGCACUCAUUUUUCACCCGCAACACAACACUCUAGUUUGGUAAAGUAAGGGGUCAAUGACCUACAAGAAUAUUGGUAGCUCAGGUUAAUGGCAAAUCAACAAGAAGACAUUAAAGCCAUGUUAAUCUGUCUUGUGCCUAUGAAAACUGAUUCCGCGCAAGACCCUACUUAUUACAAACAUGCAGAGUUGGAAAAACAAAUGAGAUAAGGUAUAAGUAUACCGAAAAUGAUGAGGGAGCAUCUAAUAUCUGAAAACCUAGGCCUUUCACAUCAAGCUGGCCAUGAAUGCUCGGAAAACUAUCACCUUUCGACAUACAGAUAUGCACCUGGAGAAGGAAAAGGAGAAAUAUUGCUGUACGCAUUUAGUAUCUCCAAGCAUGAAAAAAAGCAGUUCCCGUGAGGCAUGUAUGUCUAGCACUCUAGAUGUAGCAAUGUAGCAUGAACCUUGUGGCAAGUUCAGUUAUUCGUUAAGUGCAUGUGGAAGUCAUGUCCAGGUAUUGUCUAAAUUGUAUGCACAAGUGGCUGAUAUUAAUAGUGAAAUUGAACAUGCAAGAGAUUAAGUUUAGAAAAGCACCUCACCAGUUGCUCUUCCUUUGUGCCAGACAACUGGUAUUUCUAGGAUACGCUCAAACAGCUGCACAUGAAAAAUUGCUCUUCAAUACAAGAACUAAGAACUGUAGCAUCUUGUAUACAUAAUAAAAGUAGGUGCAUUACCGGGGCAAAAGCAUUGACUACAUUCAGAUUAGCAUGCCAUGUUUGCUCCGCUAUGUCAACAAAGACAUCUGUAGAAAGAUAACCCCCUCCUUGAGAAGUUUGAUCUUGUCUCCACUCCAUGCAGUUCCCAGUGACAUGCACAUGUACACGAUUAUAGGAGUUUUUGAACUUGACGUGUCCAUUAGCCUGUUUCAUUUCCCUACAAUAGUAAGGCAACGACUACAAACUUAGUUGAUGUUCAUUUAUAAUGCCGCAGUUGCACCCCAGCCCCCUUUUGGAAGAGCCUAUAAUAAUGCACUGAAUAAUACAAGUAAGAUAAGUUGAAAUAUACUGCACCCUCAUUACAGUAAUUUACUUGACAAUAUAACUCCUGAUAAUAAGAAUUAACAAUAUAAAUCCGAACACCGGUUAUGAGAAUAUUUAUUGUUCACAGAAAUUUAAUUGUUGGGGAAUGCAGUAAAUUCAUGGGAAGAGACAGAUGAUCACAAAAUUACCCCAAUAUAAGUUCCAACAGUGAUACACUAAUACAUUUUGAAAAUGCACAAGAAAGGAGAAGAGCAUAUAUUUGCAAUAGAAAUGGCAAAUGAUGAGGUCAAACCUUGGUUCCUGAUCACCGUAUCCUAGAAGCAUCAAGUUCCCUCCACUGAAAUAAACAGAAUCCAGUGUGAUAGGAAGCAUAUGCUGAGCCCCACCAGGAUUUAUCUGGUCAACCCCUUCUACGAGUCCAGCAGGGGCAUCUUCAAGACCGAUAGCAAAUCGCGACUUCAACUUUUGAAUUUCAACACCCAGAGAAGCAUAUGGUGCAUUAAAAUGAACACGGGAGCCCUUUGCCUGCAAAGGCCAAAAUGACUGACUAAUAUUAUCUUCAGAAAGACUCUCAAAUUCCUCCAACAUGCGGCCUUGGUACAAGUUGCCCUCGCCAUGCUGCACAUCUUCCAAAUGGUUGCAUACCAACAUUUUGUUAUCGGAGUGAUGCAAACUAUGCUGACUAGGUUGUUGAUUAUGAGAAUGCUCCGCAUGCACAUCAUUUGCAUCGAUGAUUGGCAUUGCACUUGCAGAUUUGCCUUCACCUAGACAGUCCAGACAACGACUACUAUUUAAUGGAAAUUCACCAGAAUUCUCUGGUGCAGUAGCAGAGCUGACAAUUGGUGCAUAAUUUGAAGUGGCUUUGCCAGAACCAGCAUUUGCAUGACCUCCUCCGUUAGAUGAAUUAUUCCCAGAACCAGGGGAUGAGUUAUCAGGAUUACCACUCUCCAUGUUUUCAAAAUAUGCCACAGCAGCCUGUGCACUACGCCGAAGGAUCCUUUCCUGAGAGGAAUUGUCGAUGCCUGAUACCACCUUGUUGUGACCUUUCCUCUUGUAUCUUCGCUUUCUAGGGUUCGGGAUCAUCCUAGACCAGAAGUUGAUGCCCGGGAUACGCGAUUUCACACCGAAUGAUUUCUCCAGAUCCGCAUGCUUUGAGCUAGAGUCAAUAAUGCCUGGAUCCAUGUGUCGAUCGUUCCUGUGCAUCUCAUCAGCACAGAGGGGCGGGCUACUGGAUUUCCCAUUUCCGACAGGUCCAUCGUCCUCCAGCAUCUCGUCAGCCGAACGUGAAGUGGAUUGGCCACUGGGAACUGCGUAUCCCCUUCGAGCAGAUUCCCUAGCAGCUCUGUCCCUCUCCUCGUCCCACUGCCCCCCAGCCUUCUCCCUGGCGAGCCUCCUGGUCUUGGUACGGUAGUCAAUGCCCUCCUCCGCCGAAUUCCUCUUGGGCUUCCCCUCCUUGGACGGCGCGGGGAUGCCCAGCCAGGAGAAAUCCUUCCUCUGCGCGACGAGCGCGGUGGGGUCGGAGAGCAGGGCGUCGACGACGACCCGCCCCCUCCUGAGGCUGGCGAAGGGCCUGACCCUGAUCUUCAUGACGGGCACCUCGGCGCAGGAGAACUCGUCGGCGCGCGGGCCGACGGAGCAGGUGUGGAGCGUGAUCCCGAGCGGCGAGACGCUGCGCGCCCCGCCGACGCGGACCUCCCGCUGGAGGUAGUCCCCGAGCGCGGCGCAGGCGGCCGGGAGGAGGCGCGCCUCGACGAAGGCCCGCGCACGGUGCUGCGCGUACCAUGAGAGCGCUGCGGCGACGGAGAGCACGGCGGCGAAGGCGGAGCAGCGCACGAGGAAGAGGCCCUCCCGCCAUACGGAGGCGAGGGAGCCGAUCAGGGCCCGCAGCGGCGGCGGGCGGUGGUGGUCGUGGCCGUGGCUGGGGAGGCAGUCGCUCGAGUCGGAGACCCUGAGGCGGAGCAGCGGGGGCGGGUCGAGGCGCGCGAGGGUUAGGAUGGGCCUCGGGGCGUGGCGGCGGCCGCGGCCGCCGCGCGCGCGGCGAGGCCGGCAGACGAGGAGGGGCGGCGGCGCGAGGGAGGGCGAGACGCGGAGGCAGUGCGACAUUGCGCCGGGCUGGCCGCCUAGGUGACCAUUUGCGUGCGGCGGGAGAAAGAGAGAUGGGACGGGUGGGUGGAAUAGUAGUCACCGGCAGUGGGCGAGCCGAGAGAGAGAGAUGGGCGGGGGAGAGAUGCUUGCCUCUCGCUGGGGUCGUUGCCUACUUGCCGUGCUCGCUUCUUUUUGGAUUUUGCCGCAGAUGAUUUGUCUUCCCUUCGCCUCUUCUUGUCUCGCCUCCUCUUUGUGAUGAAAGCGAAAGACCAGACAAGCUAAUUAUUUCGCUUCUCUCUCCCGUACAAAAUGGCCUACCAGCAGCAUAUGGAAUGAAUGUUUUCAGAGGGCAAAAAUAACAAAGAUACUCCUACCAAAGAAGGCAUCGGAAACCUAAAGACAACCAUGAAGCAUCAUCCACAGACACAGAGCGAGAGGAAAAGUACCCAAGAGGCCCUGUUGGCCAUGUUGUUGUCUAUCAUAAGUUCAACCGGAUCAACACAAUUCAAAACACAAUUACAACGACCGUUCUGGUGACCACGAAGGCCUUCCAGAAUUCCGAAACCGAAUAUCAGAAAGGCGCUCCAUGGUCACCAUAAAUACACAACUCUGGGGAGGACUGGAUGGGGAAAAAGUUUAUUGCGACGGGUCCAAAACGAACAAGGGGAUCAUUCAUUAUCGAAACUCAGGAGCAUCUCAAAACUUGGGCGGCCCGUCGCGUUUUU
rnacentral:lncRNA from 1 species